rnacentral:rRNA from 1 species
AUUGAACGCUGGCGGCAUGCUUUACACAUGCAAGUCGAACGGCAGCGCGGGCUUCGGCCUGGCGGCGAGUGGCGAACGGGUGAGUAAUGCAUCGGAACGUGCCCAGUAGUGGGGGAUAGCCCGGCGAAAGCCGGAUUAAUACCGCAUACGACCUGAGGGUGAAAGCGGGGGACCGAAAGGCCUCGCGCUAUUGGAGCGGCCGAUGUCGGAUUAGCUAGUUGGUGGGGUAAAGGCUUACCAAGGCGACGAUCCGUAGCUGGUCUGAGAGGACGACCAGCCACACUGGGAUUGAGACACGGCCCAGACUCCUACGGGAGGCAGCAGUAGGGAAUUUUGGACAAUGGGAGCAACCCUGAUCCAGCCAUGCCGCGUGCGGGAAGAAGGCCUUCGGGUUGUAAACCGCUUUUGUUCGGGAAGAAAUCCUCUGGGCUAAUACCCCGGGGGGAUGACGGUACCGGAAGAAUAAGCACCGGCUAACUACGUG